rnacentral:snRNA from 1 species
GGAUGUGAGAGUGGUCCAGCUACGACAUCUGUCACCUCACUGAUUGCAGGCCUGAUUCCGCUGAUCUGCUUGACUCGGUGAGUGUCCCCACCACUCCAUGUGCGUCCCUCCCCAAGCUGCACACUCAGUUGAAGAGGUUGACCUUCCUGGAGUGGAGGAGGACCCACCUUCAGUCAAGGGUGCAAGAGGAGCUGCACUUCCUGCUAGGGCCUCCAAACAAGCGCUCAAGAGUUGCCGUGAUCAUGGUGUCUCUUCACUGCAGUAGAAACCCUAACUGAGACCCCAGCCCUGCCUGCACUCUUAAAGUGGUUCGGCAGGGAGCACUGGCCUCUUUU